GGUGGAGGAGAUGGAGACGUCGGAAACAGCAACGGCCACCUCGCCACGCCGGGUAAAGCCGAACUUCUCGAACAGGAUGAUCGCCCGGAAGUCGGAGGAGAUCUUUAGGUUCUAAUCUCCGCCAUACACGAAGAGAUCGAAGCGAGUACGGUGAGGAAGAGGAGCAGGACAAUAUGAGGCCGCAGAGAUCCCGCCAUGGCGACCGAACCUGAAUCCUUGGGGCGACGUCGGCGGGGUAUUAUCGAAACAGAGGACGGGGAGUCGGUGGGCCGGCCAUCGCCUUCACGCUUAAGCCUGUCCGUUAGAUUAACUUUAAGAUGGGUGACGAUUUUAGUACAGGAAUUCUCGCCGGAAUGCAUUCCAGCAACCCAAUCAGCCAAUACGCCAUCACAAUGACUUCGUGGACCCAGUCGAAGUAUGUAGCCCUAUGUAAUGCCCAAUUUAGGCCCAAUAAACACAAUCGACGGCGGGGAUCUCGCGGCUAGGGUCUCAAAGGGGCUUGCGCCGCUGUAUGGGUUUAGGGGCUCGGUCGAUCCGGCGAAGAGCCGCGGAGAAGAAGACAUCCCGAUCCAAUGGGGAGGAUUAAGGUUCACGAGCUCCGGGGGAAGACUAAGGCGGAGCUGCAUAACCAGCUCAAGGACCUCACGAACGAGCUCAGCCUCCUCCGCGUCGCCAAGGUCACUGGCGGUGCUCCCAACAAGCUCUCCAAGAUCAAGGUGGUGAGGCUGUUGAUUGCGCGGGUGCUGACGGUCACCUCGCAGAAGCAGAAGGCAACGCUGAGGGAGGCAUACAAGAAGAAGACGCACAUCCCGCUCGACCUCAGGCCUAAAAGGACUCGUGCGAUCCGCUGUCGCCUUUCCAAGUAUCAGGUUGAGAAACUUCUUCCAACCUCGAUCUUUGUGCAGGUGGCAAAGCUCGACGUUUCCACCUCAGAGGCACCUCGGCUAUCCCUAUGCACAUAGGCCAGAACAUGUCGAGCUGUCCAGGACAUCAAUGAUAUUUUCCUAUAACGGAUGCCUUGAAGACAGAACAUCAGAAGAAAAAGGAGAUGUACUUCCAGGAGGUAUGCAAUCAAAGCCUGGAUCGAAUUAAGGUCUGGUCUAGUCCAAGUUCUUAAUUGUCGUCUGUGAUGCUUUCUUUUAAUUCAAUGGAGUAGUUUAUAGGAGUGAUUUAGGUCUUGAACCAUAAAAUUGUUUUAUGGUGGAACAUCAUUUAUUGUUGUUAUUACUGCUCUGCUUCCUGCAAGUUGAGUUGUUGACUUUCGAGUAAAGAAUGAAUGGUUUGCCUCAUCCUCAAGAUCAUGAGGAUGCUGUGGUUA